rnacentral:rRNA from 1 species
CCUGGUUAUCAAAAACAUGUCUUUUUGAUAAUAAUUUAAAGUCUGGCCUGCCCACUGAGUCUUUAAAGGGCCGCGGUAAUUUGACCGUGCUAAGGUAGCAUAAUCAUUAGUUUUUUAAUUGAAAGCUGGUAUGAAUGGUCGGAUGAGAAAAUAACUGUCUCUAUUUAAUUUUAUUUGAAUUUUAUUUUUAAGUAAAAAAGCUUAAAUUUAAUUAAAAGACGAGAAGACCCUAUAGAGUUUUAUAAAAUUUAAAAUUUAAAUUUUUAGAAUUAUAAUUUUGUAUUUUAAAUUUUAUUUGGUUGGGGCGAUUGAAAAAUUUAAUAAACUUUUUUUAUAUAAUAACAUUAAUGUAUGAAUUUUUGAUCCAUAAAUAAAUGAUUAUAAGAUUAAAUUACCUUAGGGAUAACAGCGUAA